rfam:Cavia porcellus supercont2_0 genomic scaffold, whole genome shotgun sequence.
GUCUACUUUCAUACCAGCCUGAACGCGCCCGAUCUCAUCUGAUCUCUGAAGCUAAGCAGGGUCAGGCCUGGUUAGUACUUGGAUGGGAGACAUUAGAAGUUAUUUAAAGUUAGAAGCAGAAU